rnacentral:rRNA from 1 species
GCGUCGAGCGGCGGACGGGUGAGUAAUGCCUAGGAAAUUGCCCUGAUGUGGGGGAUAACCAUUGGAAACGAUGGCUAAUACCGCAUGAUGCCUACGGGCCAAAGAGGGGGACCUUCGGGCCUCUCGCGUCAGGAUAUGCCUAGGUGGGAUUAGCUAGUUGGUGAGGUAAGGGCUCACCAAGGCGACGAUCCCUAGCUGGUCUGAGAGGAUGAUCAGCCACACUGGAACUGAGACACGGUCCAGACUCCUACGGGAGGCAGCAGUGGGGAAUAUUGCACAAUGGGCGCAAGCCUGAUGCAGCCAUGCCGCGUGUGUGAAGAAGGCCUUCGGGUUGUAAAGCACUUUCAGUCGUGAGGAAGGUAGUGUAGUUAAUAGCUGCAUUAUUUGACGUUAGCGACAGAAGAAGCACCGGCUAACUCCGUGCCAGCAGCCGCGGUAAUACGGAGGGUGCGAGCGUUAAUCGGAAUUACUGGGCGUAAAGCGCAUGCAGGUGGUUUGUUAAGUCAGAUGUGAAAGCCCGGGGCUCAACCUCGGAAUAGCAUUUGAAACUGGCAGACUAGAGUACUGUAGAGGGGGGUAGAAUUUCAGGUGUAGCGGUGAAAUGCGUAGAGAUCUGAAGGAAUACCGGUGGCGAAGGCGGCCCCCUGGACAGAUACUGACACUCAGAUGCGAAAGCGUGGGGAGCAAACAGGAUUAGAUACCCUGGUAGUCCACGCCGUAAACGAUGUCUACUUGGAGGUUGUGGCCUUGAGCCGUGGCUUUCGGAGCUAACGCGUUAAGUAGACCGCCUGGGGAGUACGGUCGCAAGAUUAAAACUCAAAUGAAUUGACGGGGGCCCGCACAAGCGGUGGAGCAUGUGGUUUAAUUCGAUGCAACGCGAAGAACCUUACCUACUCUUGACAUCCAGAGAACUUUCCAGAGAUGGAUUGGUGCCUUCGGGAACUCUGAGACAGGUGCUGCAUGGCUGUCGUCAGCUCGUGUUGUGAAAUGUUGGGUUAAGUCCCGCAACGAGCGCAACCCUUAU